rnacentral:rRNA from 1 species
AUUGAACGCUGGCGGCAGGCCUAACACAUGCAAGUCGAACGAGUGGCGGACGGGUGAGUAAUGUCUGGGAAACUGCCCGAUGGAGGGGGCUAACUACUGGAAACGGUAGCUAAUACCGCAUACCAUCGGAUGUGCCCAGAUGGGAUUAGCUUGUAGGUGAGGUAACGGCUCACCUAGGCGACGAUCCCUAGCUGGUCUGAGAGGAUGACCAGCCACACUGGAAUUGAGCCACGGUCCUGCCUCCUACGGUAGGCAGCAGGGGGGAAUAUGGCACAAUGGGCGCAAGGCUAAUGCAGCCAUGCCGCGUGGAUGAAGAAGUCCUUCGGGUUGUACAGUACUUUCAGCGGGGGGGCGUUCCCCUCAGAAGAAGCGCCGGCUAACUCCGUGCCAGCAGCCGCGGUAAUUC